CACCCCUGGCCAUGGGCACAGAGACACCUUGUUGGUGAUGUUCUUCAUAUGUCAGUCAGGGGCAGAGCAGAUGGCAUGCCUUGCUCAUCCCAGCUUGAUGCCUGGCUUGGUGGCUAAAGCUGUCUCAUGCUUAGGACUCAUAA